rnacentral:lncRNA from 1 species
UCUUCUAGUUGAUCAUAGUUUCUUCGGGAAGUUGUAGGUCUUUUUGAGAAAGUUGGUUGCCUGUUUAUCAUUCCGAUAACAUAAAACACGUAAAUUUGUAUUGGCUUCUGUAGGUUGAUAGGUCCAUUAUUUUGCACAUUUUAACUACCUAUUUAUUGCUUGUUUUCGUAUUUUUAUUAGUUAAUUGUUUUGUUUUCAGGAAAUUUUAGAGAAAUCAAGAAUUCAAGAGAAAAAGGAACAAAAAGGUGCAAGAAGGGAAAAAGAGGAAGAAAAAGAAAAGAAGAAGAAGAAAAAGAAAAGAAGAAAAAGAAAAAGAAAAAUGGAAAAGAAAAUCAAGACACAAAGACCCUUCUACCCCUAAAACCCUAAUCUUGGCCUAUAUAAACAUCAUUUUCUCUCAUUAGCCACCAUCUUAGUCUUUACCCUAGUUUUACCUAGUUGUUAGUAGCCUCCUUCAUCACUUUCUAGCUUUCUUUUUCAAAUUGUAAUCUCUCAAAUAUUGUAAACACUUUCUUGUUUAAUAUAAUUUCAAGUUUAGUUUCUUCAUCUCCUACAUCUUUACCUUGUUGAAAUUUAUGGCUAUGAUCUAUUUUCUUUCCAACAAGUGGAUAAAGUGGCAUGUAUGCCAACCACUUGUGGGUUGAAAGAGCCUUUAUUUUAUGUUUUAGUUUACAUUUUGAUAUUUAGAUUAAGCCCCUUUUAAAUCUCAAUUUUAUUAGUGGGUUUAAUGAUUUAGUAUUUUUGUUUUUGAUUUUGGUUUGUAGUUUGAUGGGGUUUUGUUAGAAACAUGGUAGAUAAGCUAGUUUUGAAGUUUUGUUGGAUUUAGAGUUAGUUUGAUAUGAUUUGGUAGUGUUCUUGUUCUUGGUUUUGGUAUUUUUGAGGGCUUUUUGGUGUAAAUUUUAGUUUAUGAUUUUGACUUGAGGUUAGUGGGUUUGUGUUUGAAAUAUUAUGUUUAGGUUAGAUUUAAAGUUUGGUGUAUUUUGGAGUUGUUUUGGCUUGAUUUUGGUCUUGUUUUGGUGAGAAAUGGGUAGUUUAGGAGCUAUUUAGUGUAGAAUUUAUUGUUGAAUUUGAUUUAGAGGUUAGUGGGGUUUGAUUUGUUAUAUUUGGAAUGGCUAGAUUUUCCGGUUAAAUUGAUUUUCCGGUAAGAUUUAGACUAUUCCGGGGACCUCCAUGUAUUCCGGCGAUGGUUCGUUAGACUGAUAUGUUUCUGCGAUUGUUUAGUAUAUACGUUGAUCUUCAUGUUUUGGUUCAGUGGAUUACGUGUUUAAUUUGUGUCAAUUUUUCUUUUCUUUUAUUUUUAUUUUUUAUUUUUCCGUUUCUUUUAUAUUAAGUUUGUUUUACAUGGCCAGUGUAUCUGCUUGUUCUGUUCACAAAUCACACACUCCUCUCCCUUUUAUUUGACACGCUCAGACCACGGACCAGUUCUCUGUCUUAUGUUUUAAAUUAAUUCUGUUCGUUUGUUAUUCUUUAUAUUUUCUUUUUAAAUUUUCUUUUGCAUUUCUAUAUUGAUUUUGAUAAGUGAUUAAUUUGUUUACUUUUUUUUAUUUGAGAAAUGUUUAAUAUUAAUUAGUAAAAUCAAUAUUCUCCUCAAAAUUAAUUUGGUCUAAUUUGAUUAAGUUAAAAAUUAAGUUUUCGCGAAAAUAACUUUAGUCCUUGGAACGAAUCUUAUAUUACUAAAACGGGAUCGUGCACUUGCGAUUAAUUUUAAAAUCAUAUUUUGAGCACAUCAUAGGUUUCCACUGACCAGAUGUUGGAGGCAAGGUGUUGAGACACCUACAUAAGCGGGAAACAUGCAUAGUAGUUAUCGGCAGUAUUUAGUAGUUAAUAGUUAUCUUAUCUUAACAUGUUCUGGUCUUAUUAGUGGGAUUACUUGUGUUCGUGGUAGCUAUAGUUUAGGUGUCACGAUGUAUCCUCUAUUCUCUAUCCUGUAUAUAAAUUUGCAGAACUAAUAUAAUCUGUGUGAAGUGUUUUAUCUCUUCAAGCACACCUCUCUUGUCACUGUUGAUAAAUUCUAACUUGGUAUCAGAGCCUUAUGGCCAACGCUAAUAUUCAAACAAAUCAGCCCUUAUAUUCUCUCGGUGGAAUGCUUUCUCAACCACCAUCAGUAAAGUUAGAUAAUGACAAUUUCUUGCUUUGGCAAAAUAUGGUAUUGCCACUUCUGAGAGGUCAUAAGCUUGAAGGUUUUCUAACUGGUGAAAUACCAUGUCCAAACGAAUUUAUUGUUUCCACCACAACAACUUCUGCUUCAAUUGUAUCUGGAACACCAUCACCACCAAAAAAAGAUCCAAAUCCUGAUUAUGAUGUUUGGAUCUCAAAAGACCAACUUCUGUUAGGUUGGUUAUAUAAUUCUAUUCAGCCACACGUUGCGGCUAGAUUGAUGGGUUUUACAACUUCGAAGGAUCUGUGGGAAGGCAUAAAACAAUAUUUUGGCAUGCAAAACAAAUCUCGUAUCAUUUUCCUGACAGGAGAGUUGCAACAAGCCAGGAAAGGCACAAUGAAGAUCGCUGAAUAUUUGAACUCAGUGAAGUCUAUUGCUGACAAUUUGGCUUUGGCAGGAAAGCCAAUUGAUAGUUCUGAUCUUGUAACUCAGGUUCUUGCAGGACUCGAUGAAGAAUAUACACCAAUUGUUGUGCAAAUCAGCGGAAGAGAAUCAAUCUCUUGGGUCGAGCUACAAUCUACUUUGAUGACUUAUGAAAGUCGCCUAGAGCAAUUAAAUGCAACACGUUUAAGCUUGGCUGGAAUGGAAGUAUCACGACCAACUGCAGCAUUUGCAAAUAAGGUCAAUCCAAAUGCUCGCAAUAGUAAUUCGACUGGCUUGAAUUACAAGAGUCAUAGAGGCGGAGCACAAGGAAGAGGAAAUUUCAGGAAUGGUAAUACCAGAGGGAGAAACCGUGGAGGAAGAAGUUCAAACUCCAAAUUAAUGUGUCAAAUUUGUGGAAAACCUGGACAUACAGCUCCCUACUGUUGGAAUAGAUAUGAUGAGGAUUUCAUGGGCACCUCCCCAGACACAAGUAAAGGAAAGCAAGAAAGCUCAUCGAUUGCAUUUACAGCUGCUAUAGGGUCAGAAGUUGAUCAAAGCUGGUUUAUGGAUAGUGGGGCAAGCAAUCAUGUUACAAACGAUGAAACUCAGUUAUCGAAUGCAGGUAAAUAUUUCGGUAGAAAACUCUGAUGGUUGGAAAUGGAUCAAAACUUUGUAUUGCACAUACCGGAAAAAUACUUGUUCCAUCCUUGGAUCACAAGGUGUUGCAAUUAAAAAAUGUUCUUCAUGUGCCUUGCAUUAAGAAAAAUUUGCUCAGUGUCUCUCAAUUAGCUUUUGAUAACAAUGUCUUUACUGAGUUUCACUCUAAUUGUUGCUUUGUUAAGGACAAGGAAACGGGACAGGUUCUUCUUCAAGGGACGCUUAAAGAUGGUCUGUAUCAGUUAAAGCUUGCAGAUAGAUUUAGAAGCUCAAAGUCAAUGUUUAGUCAUUCUAAUGUUCCAAUUGCUCGAGAAAAUAAUUCUUCUCAUGUCGCACUUGAGUCUAGUGUCGUUGAUUCUCGAAAAGAGUUGUUUCAUAGAAGAUUUGGUCACCCAUCAAAUAGAAUUUUAUCAACAAUUCUAAAGUCUUGUAAUCAGUCCAUGUUCUUCAAUGAAAAUCAAUUUUUUUGUGAAGCUUGUCAGUAUGGAAAAUCUCAUUCUUUACCGUUUCCCACAUCUGAAUAUCAUGCACAAGAACCACUUCACUUGAUCCAUACAGACUUAUGGGGUCCGGCACCUGUCCAAUCUUGUGAUGGAUACAAAUAUUAUAUCCAUUUUUUAGAUGAUUAUAGCAGGCAUAUUUAUCCUUUAAAAACCAAAGGUGAUGCACUUGAUGUGUUUAUCAAAUUCAAAAGGCUGGUUGAGAACAGGUUCAACAAAAGGAUAAAAAUUGUUCAAUCUGAUUGGGGAGGAGAAUAUAGAAGCUUCAGUAAAGUGUUGGAAAAGUGUGGCAUUGAAUUUCGACACUCUUGUCCACAUACUUCUUCGCAAAAUGGACGAGCCGAAAGAAAACAUCGACAUAUUGUCGAAACUGGCCUCACUCUUCUAGCUCAAGCAAAAAUGCCUCUGAAAUAUUGGUGGUAUGCUUUUCAAACUUCUGUGUACCUAAUAAACUGUAUGCCUACUCCUGUUCUUAAUCUAAAAUCCCCCAUUCAGACUCUUUACAACCAGAAGCCAAAUUAUCAAUUACUCAAAGUCUUUGGUUGUGCAUGUUUUCCUUGUCUCAGACCAUAUCACAAAACUAAAUUUCAGUUUCAUACGAUAAAAUGUGUGUUUCUCGGAUACAGUCCAGGUCACAAGGGAUAUCUUUGUUUGAGUCCUACGGGUAGAGUUUAUGUGUCCAGGAGCGUUAUUUUUAAUGAGAAUAAUUUUCCUUUUGCACAUACAAAAUUUCUCACCAAUAAUUGGCAUCAAUCUGAACACUCUGUUGUCAACUCGUGUUCAUCAUAUUCUAUACUACCUUUAUCUCCCUUAAAUUCCACAGAUGCGAUAACUGAUACAAGACCUCAACAAGCAUUUUUUGAAGGCGGGUCGGUACCUUCUGAGUCUGAAAACUUGCAACAACCAAGUGAUGAAUCUUUGGCUCAACAUGAUCACAACACUCCAUCAGCGGCAAAUUCAUCUGCUCAAGAAUUCUCUCCAAUAGAUUUGGAAGAACACAUAGAGUCUUCUCAUUCAGUUGAUGUGUCUGCAAGUUCAAGAACAGGCAAAGCUCAUGCAGAAAGUCAUAGCAUGGUUACACGAGGUAAAGCUGGGAUUUUUAAACCGAAAGCUUAUAUUACCAAUGUUUGUCAUGAACCUGCUACAGUACAGGAGGCUCUUGCAAAUGAACACUGGCACAAAGCAAUGCAUGAAGAGAUGGCAGCCCUCACCAAAAACCAUACAUGGCAACUUGUUCCAUGGCGACCAGAUAUGAAUGUGGUGGAAAAUAAAUGGGUGUUCCGUAUUAAAAGAAAAGCUGAUGGAUCUAUCGAUAGAUUUAAAGCACGUCUCGUGGCGAAGGGAUAUUUACAAACUCCAGGAGUGGAUUUCACUGAAACCUACAGUCCAGUUAUUAAAGCCUCUACAGUUCGUAUCAUCCUUACCAUAGCCAUUUCAAAGAAUUGGAAAAUCAGGCAACUUGAUGUUAACAAUGCAUUUUUGAAUGGGAAGCUUCAUGAAACAGUGUAUAUGGCUCAACCGGAAGGAUUUGUUGAUGCAAACAAGCCUGGAUAUGUUUGUAAACUUGAGAAAGCAAUUUAUGGAUUAAGACAAGCACCUCGUACCUGGAGUGAUGAAUUAAGAGAGACGUUACAACGCUGGAAUUUUAUUCAGUCUCAGUGUGAUUCAUCUUUGUUCUUUUUGCAGGCCAGGAACAAAAUAAUAUUUGUUCUUAUCUACGUGGACGACAUCAUUGUUACAGGGAAUGAUGAUUCUUUGUUACAAAAAUUUAUUCAGCAAUUAAAUCGCAUGUUCUCCCUGAAAGAUCUUGGUGAUCUUCAUCACUUUCUUGGUAUUGAGGUCCAUCGAGAUCAUACCGGUCUGUUUCUUAGUCAAACCCAGUACAUACGUGAUAUUCUUUUCAAGUUUGGUAUGUCACAGUGUAAGCCAUGUCCUACACCCAUGAGUACUGGUAGAAGUAUCAGUCUUUCUAAUGGUACACCAAUGCAUGAUCCUACUGUGUAUCGAAGUGCUGUUGGAGCUCUCCAAUAUUUACUUCAUACAAGACCUGAUAUUGCUUUUGUAGUGAACAAACUCAGUCAAUUCUCACACACACCAACUGAUGUGCAUUGGCAACUCCUCAAGCGUGUAUUCCGAUAUUUGCAAGGUACAUCUCAGUUUGGUUUAUACAUUCAGGGCAAUGAAAGGCUUAAUGUUACCGGUUUCUCUGAUGCUGAUUGGGCUUCAUGCCCUGAUGAUCGUCGAUCAGUAGGUUCUUAUUGUGUAUAUUUAGGUGACACUUUAGUCUCCUGGUCAUCCAAGAAACAAGGUGUUGUUGCUCGCUCCAGCACGGAGGCUGAAUAUCGCGCUCUUGCUAAUGUUGCGGCAGAGAUUACUUGGAUUCAGUCAUUGUUCAAAGAAAUCGGAGUUCCCUGUAGUAGUACACCCAUUACUUGGUGCGAUAACAUGAGUGCUAAUGCUCUUGCUUCUAAUCCAGUAUAUCAUGCACGGACAAAACACAUAGAGAUUGAUGUUCAUUUUAUUCGCAGUAAGGUGCUUAACAAACAACUUGAAGUUCGGUACAUUCCUUCUUAUGAUCAGGUUGCUGACAUGCUCACUAAGCCUCUUACACAUUCUCGAUUUCUUUUCUUGCGUGACAAACUCAAUGUCAGUCAGGUUCCCUUGAGUUUGAGGGGGGAUGUUGAGACACCUACAUAAGCGGGAAACAUGCAUAGUAGUUAUCGGCAGUAUUGAGUAGUUAGUAGUUAUCUUAUCUUAACAUGUUCUGGUUCUAUUACUGCUAUUACUUGUGUUAGUGGUAGCUAUAGUUUAGGUGUCACGAUGUAUCCUCUAUUCUCUAUCCUGUAUAUAAACUUGCAGAACUAAUAUAAUCUGUGUGAAGUGUUUUAUCUCUUCAAGCACACCUCUCUUGUCACUGUUGAUAAAUUCUAACUCAAGGGAAGGCUAGAACUAGCAGACGGGCCAUACUCGUUUGAUAUUGAAGCUCUGAACUGCUCGAUGAGGCUCUGAGUGUCCAUAUGGAACAGGGGAAGUAUACGUUUCACAAUGAGUGCAAAUCUGUUUAUUAAUUCAGGUGGUAAUUCAU